rnacentral:rRNA from 1 species
UAGGGAAUCUUCGGCAAUGGACGGAAGUCUGACCGAGCAACGCCGCGUGAGUGAAGAAGGUUUUCGGAUCGUAAAGCUCUGUUGUUAGAGAAGAACGUUGGUAGGAGUGGAAAAUCUACCAAGUGACGGUAACUAACCAGAAAGGGACGGCUAACUACGUGCCAGCAGCCGCGGUAAUACGUAGGUCCCGAGCGUUGUCCGGAUUUAUUGGGCGUAAAGCGAGCGCAGGCGGUUCUUUAAGUCUGAAGUUAAAGGCAGUGGCUUAACCAUUGUACGCUUUGGAAACUGGAGGACUUGAGUGCAGAAGGGGAGAGUGGAAUUCCAUGUGUAGCGGUGAAAUGCGUAGAUAUAUGGAGGAACACCGGUGGCGAAAGCGGCUCUCUGGUCUGUAACUGACGCUGAGGCUCGAAAGCGUGGGGAGCAAACAGGAUUAGAUACCCUGGUAGUCCACGCCGUAAACGAUGAGUGCUAGGUGUUAGGCCCUUUCCGGGGCUUAGUGCCGCAGCUAACGCAUUAAGCACUCCGCCUGGGGAGUACGACCGCAAGGUUG